AUUGAACGCUGGCGGCAUGCCUUACACAUGCAAGUCGAACGGCAGCACGGGUGCUUGCACCUGGUGGCGAGUGGCGAACGGGUGAGUAAUACAUCGGAACAUGUCCUGUAGUGGGGGAUAGCCCGGCGAAAGCCGGAUUAAUACCGCAUACGAUCUACGGAUGAAAGCGGGGGACCUUCGGGCCUCGCGCUAUAGGGUUGGCCGAUGGCUGAUUAGCUAGUUGGUGGGGUAAAGGCCUACCAAGGCGACGAUCAGUAGCUGGUCUGAGAGGACGACCAGCGACACUGGGACUGAGACACGGCCCAGACUCCGACGGGAGGCAGCGGUGGGGAAUUGUGGACAAUGGGGGAAAGCCUGCUCCAGCAAUGCAGCGUGUGUGAAGAAGGCCUUCGGGUUGUAAAGCACUUUUGUCCGGAAAGAAAGCCUUGGCCCUAAUACGGUCGGGGGAUGACGGUACCGGAAGAAUAAGCACCGGCUAACUACGUG
rnacentral:rRNA from 1 species